AACGAACGCUGGCGGCAGGCUUAACACAUGCAAGUCGAGCGCCCCGCAAGGGGAGCGGCAGACGGGUGAGUAACGCGUGGGCAUCUACCCAUCUCUACGGAAUAACGCAUGGAAACGUGUGCUAAUACCGUAUACGUCCUUCGGUCGCAAGAUUUAUCGGAGAUGGAUGAUCCCGCGUUGGAUUCGCUAGUUGGUGGGGUAAAGGCCUACCAAGGCGACGAUCCAUAGCUGGUCUGAGAGGAUGAUCAGCCACACUGGGACUGAGACACGGCCCAGACUCCUACGGGAGGCAGCAGUGGGGAAUAUUGGACAAUGGGCGCAAGCCUGAUCCAGCCAUGCCGCGUGAGUGAUGAAGGCCCUAGGGUUGUAAGCUCUUUCACCGGUGAAGAUAAUGACGGUAACCGGGGAAGAAGCCCCGGCUAACUUCGUGCCAGCAGCCGCAGUAACAC
rnacentral:rRNA from 1 species